CCCUCUUGUCAACAGUAGUGCUGGAUCCAUGACACAAGCCCUCAUCUCAGGUUGGAUUUCCUGCUUUGGAGUUCCUUUACUUGUCACAACGGACCACAAUUCAAGUCACUGUUGUUCAACCAACUUUCUGCUGUCCUGGGAGUUCGCCAUAUCUGUAUAACCAGCUACCAUCCAGCUUCGAACAGUAUGGUCGCUUUCACAGGCAAUUAAAAGCAUCUCUCCAUGCAUACCCUGAUCCUCAAUGGUAGUGGUUAGACAUGUAAUUUACUACAACAGAAAAAGCAUUUUGUGUAUUGAGGUAUGCCCAAACUCAGUCAAAUGUGAAUGUGCAACAUGUAUUUGUUAGAAGAUUUCAUAAACAAGUGCCAACAGGGAAGCAGAUUUGGACAUGGUAUAAGAAGUUUCAAGAGGGAGGCUGUUUGUGUUGGAAAAAAGGAUCUGAACAACCAGCAGUUUCAGAAGAGAUGGUGAACAAACUUCAGGAAAUGCUUAGUUGGAGUCCAAAGAAAUCUGUGCAAAGAGCAAGUCUGGAAACCUGGAUCCUCAAAUCAACUGUAUGGCAUGCCAUAAGAAAACACUUGUGGUUGACUCCCUACAAGUUCUAGCUUGUGCAGACUUUAAAGCCAGUUGACAAACAAAAGAGUAAAAUGUUCUGUGAAGAUAUGCAAGAGAAACUUUGAAACUUUGAUAUGCAAGAUGACAACUUUGAAAACCGUCUUGCUUUCAGUGACAAGGACCACAUUCCAUAUAAAUGGUGAAGUGGACAAAAUACUCACAUUUGGGGGUGAAGAAAAUCCACAUGAUACAGUUGAACAUGAAAGGGAUUCACCAAAAGUGAAUGUGUUCUGUGCCAUCUCAAAGAACAGUGAAAAUUUUGGAACAUUAUAAAAUUAUCAUCUCACAGAAUUUUUUGUUGGAAAUCCGUAGAAUAAAACUUGUUAUGUUCAAAAUUAA